rnacentral:rRNA from 1 species
AGAGUUUGAUCCUGGCUCAGGAUGAACGCUGGCGGCGUGCCUAAUACAUGCAAGUCGAACGCUUUGUGGUUCAACUGAUUUGAAGAGCUUGCUCAGAUAUGACGAUGGACAUUGCAAAGAGUGGCGAACGGGUGAGUAACACGUGGGAAACCUACCUCUUAGCAGGGGAUAACAUUUGGAAACAGAUGCUAAUACCGUAUAACAAUGACAACCGCAUGGUUGUUAUUUAAAAGAUGGUUCUGCUAUCACUAAGAGAUGGUCCCGCGGUGCAUUAGCUAGUUGGUAAGGUAAUGGCUUACCAAGGCGAUGAUGCAUAGCCGGGUUGAGAGACUGAUCGGCCACAAUGGGACUGAGACACGGCCCAUACUCCUACGGGAGGCAGCAGUAGGGAAUCUUCCACAAUGGGCGAAAGCCUGAUGGAGCAACGCCGCGUGUGUGAUGAAGGGUUUCGGCUCGUAAAACACUGUUGUAAGAGAAGAAUGACAUUGAGAGUAACUGUUCAAUGUGUGACGGUAUCUUACCAGAAAGGAACGGCUAAAUACGUGCCAGCAGCCGCGGUAAUACGUAUGUUCCAAGCGUUAUCCGGAUUUAUUGGGCGUAAAGCGAGCGCAGACGGUUAUUUAAGUCUGAAGUGAAAGCCCUCAGCUCAACUGAGGAAUUGCUUUGGAAACUGGAUGACUUGAGUGCAGUAGAGGAAAGUGGAACUCCAUGUGUAGCGGUGAAAUGCGUAGAUAUAUGGAAGAACACCAGUGGCGAAGGCGGCUUUCUGGACUGUAACUGACGUUGAGGCUCGAAAGUGUGGGUAGCAAACAGGAUUAGAUACCCUGGUAGUCCACACCGUAAACGAUGAGUGCUAGGUGUUUGAGGGUUUCCGCCCUUAAGUGCCGCAGCUAACGCAUUAAGCACUCCGCCUGGGGAGUACGACCGCAAGGUUGAAACUCAAAGGAAUUGACGGGGACCCGCACAAGCGGUGGAGCAUGUGGUUUAAUUCGAAGCAACGCGAAGAACCUUACCAGGUCUUGACAUCCCUUGACAACUCCAGAGAUGGAGCGUUCCCUUCGGGGACAAGGUGACAGGUGGUGCAUGGUUGUCGUCAGCUCGUGUCGUGAGAUGUUGGGUUAAGUCCCGCAACGAGCGCAACCCUUAUUACUAGUUGCCAGCAUUUAGUUGGGCACUCUAGUGAGACUGCCGGUGACAAACCGGAGGAAGGUGGGGAUGACGUCAAAUCAUCAUGCCCCUUAUGACCUGGGCUACACACGUGCUACAAUGGCGUAUACAACGAGUUGCCAACCCGCGAGGGUGAGCUAAUCUCUUAAAGUACGUCUCAGUUCGGAUUGUAGGCUGCAACUCGCCUACAUGAAGUCGGAAUCGCUAGUAAUCGCGGAUCAGCACGCCGCGGUGAAUACGUUCCCGGGUCUUGUACACACCGCCCGUCACACCAUGAGAGUUUGUAACACCCAAAGCCGGUGGGGUAACCUUCGGGAGCCAGCCGUCUAAGGUGGGACAGAUGAUUAGGGUGAAGUCGUAACAAGGUAGCCGUAGGAGAACCUGCGGCUG